GCCUAACGGAUGAACUGGCAACUUGGAGAAGUGGCAAGUUUUAUAAUUAAUAGUAAUUAAUAUUUCUAUUUUUAUAAGAUUCUAUUAGAAUUGAAUGAAGCUUUGUUUAUAUAUUGAUAAUGACAGUAUAUAUAUCGUGUCUUGACUAAUUGCGUGCCAGCAGUCGCGGUAAUACGUAAGAGACUAGUGUUAUUCAUCUUAAUUAGGUUUAAAGGGUACCCAGACGGUCAAUAUAGCUUCUAUAAUGUUAGUACUUGACUAGAGUUUUAUGUAAGAGGGCAGUACUUGAGGAGGAGAGAUGAAAUUUCGUGAUACCAAAGGGACUCUGUAAAGGCGAAGGCAGCCCUCUAUGUAAAAACUGACGUUGAAGGACGAAGGCACAGAGAACAAACAGGAUUAGAUACCCAAGUAGUCUUUGCAGUAAAUGAUGAAUGCCAUAGGUCAGAUCUAUAGUUAAUGCUCUGCGGUGUAAACAAGCCAGUAUUGAAUCUAUCAAAACUGUGCUUGCUAAUUUUUUUUGUGUAUUUAUACAUCGAAAAGAUAUGCCUGUAUACAUUAAAAUAAUUUGGUCUAUAAAUGAAAGUGUAAGCAUUUCACCUCAAGAGUAAUGUGGCAACGCAGGAACUGAAAUCACUAGACCGUUUCUGACACCAGUAGUGAAGU
rnacentral:rRNA from 1 species